rnacentral:rRNA from 1 species
UACGUAGGGUGCAAGCGUUAUCCGGAAUUAUUGGGCGUAAAGAGCUCGUAGGCGGUUUGUCGCGUCUGCUGUGAAAACUGGGGGCUCAACCCCCAGCCUGCAGUGGGUACGGGGCAGACUAGAGUGCGGUAGGGGAGACUGGAAUUCCUGGUGUAGCAGUGAAAUGCGUAGAUAUCAGGAGGAACACCGAUGGCGAAGGCAGGUCUCUGGGCUGACACUGACGCUGAGGAACGAAAGCGUGGGUAGCAAACAGGA